rnacentral:rRNA from 1 species
AAGCAAUACCGCGAGGUGGAGCAAAACUCAAAAAAUAGAUCUCAGUUCGGACUGUAGGCUGCAACUCGCCUACACGAAGUUGGAAUUGCUAGUAAUCGUGGAUCAGCAUGCCACGGUGAAUACGUUCCCGGGUCUUGUACACACCGCCCGUCACACCAUGGGAGCUGGCAACACCCGAAGUCAGUAGUCUAACCGCAAGGAGGGCGCGGCCGAAGGUGGGCUUGAUAAUUGGGGUGAAGUCGUAACAAGGUACC